UGACGGUACUUGACUAAGAAGCCCCGGCUAACUACGUGCCAGCAGCCGCGGUAAUACGUAGGGGGCAAGCGUUAUCCGGAUUUACUGGGUGUAAAGGGAGCGUAGACGGUAUGGCAAGUCAGAUGUGAAAGGCUGGGGCUCAACCCCGGAACUGCAUUUGAAACUGUCAUGCUAGAGUGCAGGAGAGGCAAGUGGAAUUCCUAGUGUAGCGGUGAAAUGCGUAGAUAUUAGGAGGAACACCAGUGGCGAAGGCGGCUUGCUGGACUGUAACUGACGUUGAGGCUCGAAAGCGUGGGGAGCAAACAGGAUUAGAUACCCUG
rnacentral:rRNA from 1 species